GGGCCUGUAGGGUAGCUUGGUCCAUCCUUUUAGCUUUGGGAGCUAGAGACUUGCGUUCAAAUCGCAACAGGCCCA
rnacentral:tRNA from 1 species